rnacentral:rRNA from 1 species
AGCGAACGCUGGCGACAGGCCUAACACAUGCAAGUCGAACGGAUCCUUCGGGAUUAGUGGCGGACGGGUGAGUAACACGUGGGAACGUGCCCUUUGGUUCGGAACAACUCAGGGAGACUUGAGCUAAUACCGGAUGUGCCCUUCGGGGGAAAGAUUUAUCGCCAUUGGAGCGGCCCGCGUCUGAUUAGCUAGUUGGUGAGGUAAAGGCUCACCAAGGCGACGAUCAGUAGCUGGUCUGAGAGGAUGAUCAGCCACAUUGGGACUGAGACACGGCCCAAACUCCUACGGGAGGCAGCAGUGGGGAAUCUUGCGCAAUGGGCGAAAGCCUGACGCAGCCAUGCCGCGUGAAUGAUGAAGGUCUUAGGAUUGUAAAAUUCUUUCACCGGGGACGAUAAUGACGGUACCCGGAGAAGAAGCCCCGGCUAACUUCGUGCCAGCCGCCGCAGUAAUAC